GUCUCUGGUUUCCCAUCCCCUGCUUCAGAUGUGAAAACAUGUUCCUUGCAGUCGGAAUGUAAACUCAUCGACUCCAUUAAACUUGAGCACUAUAUCCCAUCAUCCAGAUCAUCAAUGGAGAUGUUCACCAGGAAUUGCUGAUCACUGGCCUCCAGCUGGAUGUUGCACUCCUGAUCACCACCCCGGCCAGCAGAUUUCAACCAGCCUGCUGUCUGCUCAUCCAGCCCAUACUUCAUGGGCUUCUCUGUGAGGGAGCCCUGUCUGUGUCCACUAGUACACACAUUCAUUUGGAUUUUAAACAAUCAAACAGAAGUGAGAGUUUUAAGAGCAGAAUUAUUUUUCAAAGGGAAAUAGAAGGGUAUGGCUUUGAUGGAACGAGUGCCUUCAAGCUCCACUGGCAGGCACUGUUUGAAAACUAUUUGGGUGAUUUUUGAUAAGAAAUGAAAGAUGCAACAGCAGGAAGCCAUUCAGCAAUCCCUGACAAGGGAGGUCCACUGUCAAUUGCUGGGAGGGCCCUCACCUGUUUCUUUUAAUGGUGCUCCCAAAUCCCACCCCUUGGGCCUCCCAUCCCAUCCUUUUUGGUCCCCUCAGGCAUCUCCUCCCCAGGAUCUGCUCUGUGUCCUACCCAGGGUCCCCAAACAUCCUCCCACUGAUCAUUCCCAAAGCUUUUCUUUCCAGACCUUUGCCUUUCACCCAGGCCACUGCCCUGGUACCUCCCAAGACCAUUCCUUGCCUCCCUCUCCACUCCCAACCAUCUCCCAGUGCCCUCGUUUUUGUCCUCCUCCAUCCUCCUCCUCCUGUCCCCACCAAGCCUCUCCCUUGCAGUCCCCAUGUCCCUACACUUGAAUUCCUUUCCCCUCCCCUGCAUCCCACACAGGGCCCCUUCAACACCCCAAUCCCAGUCCCGUGGGCUCCCCAGUUCCCCCCAGUUCAGCAUCUUUGGGUCCCCUCCUACUCCCCCCACCCUCCCUGCAGGCCCUGAAUUCCCCUGGCUCUCCUUGUCUCCAUCCCCACCCUGGGCCCUGCAGGCCCAGGGGUUGGAGGUGAAACUGGGUGCAGUGGGAGCAGGGGGAGUAGAAGGGAUUUUCCCCCUCAGACGGGGGCAGCCCUGGGCUGGGGGGGCUGGGGACACCCGUGUCCCUCCCCCAGCCCCACAGGGGCCAAUCCUGCUUAAACCUUUGCUCUCCUUGCCCAGGCACUCUUGGCAGGAACCCAAAAUGAUCUGCGGGAGCUGCAUUUAGUGGACGUUGGGAUCCUGAAGAUGGCUCAGGCUCCCAAUACAUCCCACUGCACCCAGGGUGUCUCUGAGCCUGUCUUUGUCCCCAGCCCCCUGUGGUUGAGAAGGUGGUGGGUCUUGUUGGUGAGAAACGCGUGGCUGCAUCCCUGGAUGGCUGAGGACUGGUGGUGACACCCGUGCCCUGUCCCCCUCCAGCACCAUGAAGAGAUGAUCAUCCCUGGAAGAACCCCCUGCUUUCCCUCAGAGC